UACGUAGGCAGCGAGCGUUGUUCGGAGUUACUGGGCGUAAAGAGUGCGUAGGCGGUUUUCUAAGUUUGGUGUGAAAUCUCCCGGCUUAACUGGGAGGGUGCGCCGAAGACUGGAAGGCUUGAGUAUGGGAGAGGUAAGCGGAAUUCCUGGUGUAGCGGUGAAAUGCGUAGAUAUCAGGAGGAACACCUGCGGUGUAGACGGCUUACUGGACCAUAACUGACGCUGAGGCACGAAAGUGUGGGGAGCGAACAGG
rnacentral:rRNA from 1 species